CUACGGGCCGCUCCAGUGGGGAAUAUUGCACAAUGGAGGAAACUCUGAUGCAGCAACGCCGCGUGGAGGAUGACACUUUUCGGAGCGUAAACUCCUUUUAUAUAGGAAGAAGAUGACGGUACUAUAUGAAUAAGCGCCGGCUAACUCCGUGCCAGCAGCCGCGGUAAUACGGAGGGCGCAAGCGUUACUCGGAAUCACUGGGCGUAAAGAGCGUGUAGGCGGAUUAAAAAGUCAGAAGUGAAAUCCUAUAGCUUAACUAUAGAACUGUUUCUGAAACUCUUAAUCUAGAAUAUGGGAGAGGUAGAUGGAAUUCCUGGUGUAGGGGGAAAAUCCGUAGAGAUCAGAAGGAAUACCGAUUGCGAAGGCGAUCUACUAGAACAUUAUUGACGCUGAGACGCGAAAGCGUGGGGAGCAAACAGGAUUAGAUACCCCGGUAGUC
rnacentral:rRNA from 1 species